CUUUAUUGAAGUAAGUAAUGCAAGAAAAGAACAAAUUAUAAAACUUUAUAAUAUGUAGUCGUAAUUAAAGAACUUUUAAUCAACAAACCAGCAAAUGAAAUAUAUACAGUAUAAUAAAAUACUGACCUGUACCUCAUUUAAAAAGUUCAUACUGAUUGAUUUGUGUGAUGCGUCUGCACACUGUACAAGCUCACACAAUUGCACACCUGCAUAAUUAAUGUAUCGUGUGUUGUGUGGAUGCAGGAGUAGACAAGAAGCCAGGAUGAGAAGUUACAUAUUUCCAAAUUUAAGUAAGUUAGGGUAUUAUUGUAAUUACAAAAUGGUUAUACAUUUCAAAGUCAGUUCUUGCAAGAAAUUGUAUUAUGCCAAGUUCAGGUCAUAUCUAUUAAAUAAGAAGAUAUUGGCCAUCAAUUUUUAUAAUCAUUAUAUGUUUUGACAUGG
rnacentral:lncRNA from 1 species